GGACUACAGGCUUGCGCCACCAUGCCCAGCAUGACAUCGGCCGAGUAGGUUUUUAGGAAAUGGCUGAUUAAUCCACCUUGAAUUCAGAUUUUUCAUCUGAGCUUGAAUUAAAUUGGAAGCCCAUCACCUUUUCAACUGAGAAUUGUCAAAAAGUGAUGAGGCACAGGGAUGUCAAGAGUCUGGGAGGAGACUAAAUCCCAUCAACGUAUCUAUUCAUGGAAUGAGAAAACGAUAUGGAUAUAAACAGAUAUUCCUGAUGGAUCUCUGUGCUUCGGACAUCGAUCCCAGACAACAAAAUGUGCCAUUGCAAACCCAUUGGGGCUCAUCUUGAGUGAAUAUAUUUAUGACUCUGAGAAUCUUGUUCUUCCUUAAAGAAAAAAAAAGAAUAAACAGACAAAACUUAAAAGAA